UUGUAAUACAUUGGUUGAAGUUGUAUGCUUGACUUGUCGGUGUCAUACUGAGCUUUAACGGCAGCACUGACAAUGAUGACAGCAUUAUGUGUUGUGUUGUACUUUUCAUCCAUUUGUGUUGUCCCUAUUUGACAUGAACUUUUAUCAUCGUUACCAUGUUACUACUUGUUACUAGACAGGCUGGGAGAUAUGAAGUCAAUAUAAAUUUACCUCCUAAAAGAUAAUAAAUAAUUUGGCUUGGUAACCUCUCCCCUUCCUCCAUCUAUUCCUCCCACCACAGACAGUCAGUCAAUCCCAGACAGUCUCAGACUCUCAGCGUAUGUGUUUUUUAAUCCUUACCAUAGGUAAGGAAGCAUGGCAGAUUCUCAGCACUUUUGAUUGAAGGCUAUAUUAUGUGGGGGAAACAUGUAAAAGAGGCUUUUGGGCAUAAAUUAGAGCUCCUCCAUGGUGUAUUGCUGGCUCUAUGUGAGCCAGGGGGCCAUGUUAUAUGUGUGAGUUAUUGCCUUGGACCGCGUGACUCCUGUGGUUGUGUGUACUUCUACUGUGCGUAAGAGGGUCUCGUGGCCAAUGUGUGUGUGUGUUUUCCUACUGUACCAGGGCCUCACUGAAUUUGUGAGAGAGCAGAAGAGAGGAGAAACAUUGCACACUGUUUUUGAUUCAUGGUACGUUUCCAGGAGAGAUCCAGCAACAUAGGAUAGUUUGACUUUAUCUGUACCUUUCCUGUAUGUUCCCAGCCACAGCAGCAGGCUUGCUGUUUGUCAUGAUAGCUGGGACUAGAAAUGUCAUUUUACAACCUAGAGGAUGAGGAGAAGAGCUGUAUGAACGACCAAUGCCCAGUUACACAGACCUGCAGAGAAGACUAAGUAUUAUAGAUGAAUGUGAAUGCUGGUAGAUACUGUAUAUUCCAAGCAGUGUGUGUUUACGCGUGCUCAAUGGGCAGAAGAUGUAAUCUGUAGAGCCCUUUUCAUUUAUUCUAUUAAAAAGGGAACUGGUAUAUGAGGCGAAUUGAAAGCUCCCACCAUGAACAUCAAAUUGACUUUGGAAGGCUCCAGGCAUUCCUGUUCGACAGCACAUUAGCCGCGGCUACUCUCCACCUUGAGAUGAUGGGCAGCCUGCCAGGUAGGGGUUGCCAUGACUCCUAACACCACCCCUUCCCUCUGCACUCCCUGCCCCCUUGAAUGUGCCAAAUAUUCGGGCAGGCUGGGCUGGCUAAGGUUUUGAUUUAGACAAAAGAUGUCUUAACAAUGUCAGUAGAAUGCUUUAUGGGAAUGCUGUGGCUUUCUGGUAGGAAAUCAUGUGACCUCCUCGGCCAAGGUUUUGUUAUGGUGCCAGGAGGGAGAGAACGAGAGAGGGAGUGAAGGGGGAAACUUGGAAUGCGAUGCCAGCAAAGGGUUUUUAUUCUUUCUUUUUGGGGCUUUCUUUCAUUCUUGUGUUUGCUGAGAAAAUGGCGGACGGUGUGGAGCUGAAAUGAACCCGACUUGCCAAUGGAGCUGGGCACAAUAACACAACUCAACUUUAGUAUUUUUAAAUCAAAUAUUUUGUGCCAUGUCUCAUAGCUUUUUGAUUCCUGAUAAAUCCUGCUUCCUAUCUGUCUGUCUCCGGCUGGGUACAAAAGAGAGGUCUGAACAAUCCAAAUCAAGUAGAGAUGAUGAAUGUCAAAUGGUUAGUAGAGAUCUGGAGUGAGAAAUGACCAUGGGUGACUCCUUACCCUGAAAGGCACACGAUCAACAAGAACAGAGCAAACUGGCUCUAAACCAGAAUAGAAACAGGAGUGGGAGGCCCUGGUGCACAACUGAGCAAGAGGACAAGAACAUUAGUGUCUAGUUUGAGAAACAGACACCUCACAAGUCCUCAACUGGCAGCUUCAUUAAAUAGUACCCGAAAACACCAGUCUCAACGUCAACAGUGAAGAGGCGACUCCGGGAUGCUGGCCUUCAAGUUGCUUCUGAAUUUAUCAGAAACUUGCCCAUACUGGCUCCUAAUGGACCUUUCCUGCCAGUAGACCCAAGACCGAAGAGGAGGAGGUAGCGGAGGUGUAGGGGAGGGGGUGGCAGAAGGGAGGCUGCUCCUCAGACGGCGCAGAGCGCUCUCUUCUCGUCUCCCUUCAUCAUUGGUAUGCAGUGACUAUUCCCCAGGCGACAGGGCCACUGGGUUGGGGCUAAACUGACUGCAGGAGAGUCAGGUCUACAAAGUAAAUGAGAGGAGAGCAAGACAGCAGGUAAGGGUAAUGAGAACAGGCAGAGAGAGGGAGGGAGGAGGACAAGAGAAAGGCGGAAGGGAAGCUAAUGUCCCAAGGGGCUUUGGGGGUGAGGCACCGCCUGACCCCUCCCUCACACUCUGUACACUGUCCAGGCCCACACACAUACACAUUAAUGCUUAAACUCCCGACCAGAUACAUUAUGUUCAAGUGCACAUCAUGUAUCCAAAAAACAAUAACAUAUCAGUUAGGCUAAUGGUUUUUUUUGCAAGAGCUUUUAUGACUAUAUAGUGAUAAUGUAAUGUUUCUUGAGAUGCGUGCAUAUGAUUUCCUCAAAUAUUUGUAUUUUAUUAUGUUAUUCCAUGAAACAUGAAUCUUUAAAAAUAUAUUUGAAUAUAUUUGUAAGGAAAGCAAAUGAUGGAAUACAAAGUGUAAAAUGUCAUUACAAAUUUUAAAAAGUGUGAAAAUAAACUGAUGAGUAUUA